GAGGCGGUCGUCAAAUGGUUUUGCCUCCAAAAUUUCUUCUGGAAGCGGUCACCAUUGGCUUUCGCCUCUCUAUUGCCGUCGGCCUCCAAAACAUUUUGCCUACAAAAAAAACUCUAACAGCGGCCGCCAAAAGAAAUGCGGAAGCCUCUGGAAGCGGAGCAAAAAAAAUUUUUGCCGCUAAAAAUUAAUUGGGAGGCAGCCGUCGUCUGCUGCGGAAACAAAGUGGAGACGAGAAUUUUUACGCCGUUUAUCAACACUGGAUUUAAUCAUUGAAAACUUAUAUUGGAUCGAAUAACUUAUGCUCAGAACCACAGUUCCUGAUGCAAUAAUACGAAAUCUCAAAGAGCAACUCGCAACAGUUUUUGCCAAUUACUCGUGGGCGUGCGUCAGACGAAGUCCUAAUCAGAGCGGCCUAGAUAGGAAGAAAAAACAAAAGUAAUCAGCAAUGCAAAUGUGAUUCUGUAAUAAUGAUAAUACGUGAAAAAUUUCUUUUAUACAGAA